CCAUUGCUGCUUUUAAUAGUGACCUUUCUCCCUCUUGCAAGCCCCGGGGAGAGUGAAGUCCUUCUUACCAGUGCCAGCGGGUCACUUGCUCUGUAUCUGCCAUGUUACCCAGGCUGCCUCUGCUCCUGCAGUCAGGGAAGAAGGAAGGCUGCUCUGCCUGGUAAGUGAGCGAACGAGCGAGGGUGAGAGAGAGAGUGAGGGCAGGCGGCAGCAGAGGAGCGUGGAAGAGGCAGAGAGGUCCCCUUUUCUGCCACCGCUCCAGCCAGCCACACCGGGAAACAUGGAAGACUCAGAAGAGGGACUUGGAAGUCCCACCCCCCCCCUUCCAAGUCCUCCACGUCUGCCAGCUGGAGUGGUGGCAGAAAAAGGAGCCCCACCGCCUCUUCCACGCCCUCACUCUCUCCUUCUUCCCUGGCUGCAGGAGCAGCGGCAGCCAGGGAAGGGGCCUGCCAGCGCUGGACAGCGGGAAUCCUUCCAGUUGGGACAUAGUCUGAAGCUUGAUGGUGCCAACCUGAUGGAUUACUGGGUAGAAGCCAAGUCGACCAAUUUGAACAGAAGAGAAUACGACACCUUGAAAGAAUGAAAGAAAAGAAAAGCCCCCCUCUGAGGAGAUGGGUGAGUACCAAGGAGAGGAGAUGAGAUGAGAGAAAGAACUUUGUUGUUGCCUUAAUUAAG
rnacentral:lncRNA from 11 species